GCAGCCGUGGCCUACUGGUUAGAGUGUUGGGCUUGUAACCGAAGGGUUGCCGGUUCGAUCCCCGACCAGUAGGA
rnacentral:tRNA from 1 species